UACAAAUAAAAUGUAUUAUUAUUAUUCCCCAGCCACCUGAUGCGAAGCCUGUGCUACCCAAACCCGUGGUCUAGCCCCCAGUUCAGGAGAACCAUCUCCUUCAGCAGCCACAGGUUCCUUUAGCUCAGGCACGCUUUUCUGUGCAGACUCCAGUGUCCUUUUAUUUUCGUCCCAACCGCCAUCUCACCCCCCAGAGAGCCAUUUCGACAGUGGUGAUUUCAAUCUGGUUGGGAUUGACUUCGACAGUCCACAGCAGCUAGACAUGAGCCUGUCCUCGUCCCUUUCCUCUGGCUCCGCCCAGAUGCCAAGCCUUUAGGUCAAGUAUUAUAUGUUUUUUUUCAACGACUUAUGGACAACUCAGCCAUAUCUUCAUCAAAUAUUCAACAAUCUCAUGUAAUUGAAUUACAAUUGCAAGGCAGGGUACUGCUAUAAUUAAUAAGACAGAGGCUUUCUCCCAAAUGACACCCUAUUCCCUAUAUAGUACACAUCCUGACCAGGGACCAUAGGGCUCUAUUCAAAAGUAGUGCACUUUUAUUGAGAAUAGGGUGCCAUUGGACAACAAGAGACCUGAGCCAAGGUUCAACAUACAGCUUACAUAAUCAUGUCUAUUUUACCCAGGUCAAGAUGUAGAUGAGCAUUUCUGAAGGGUCAUGGUUGCGGGGAGGGUGGAUUUCGGGGCCAGUGAGGUGGGGGUGGAGGAGAUGGUGAACAGAAGGACAACACACCUGAGCAGGAUAUGACAACACACCUGGAGGGUCUACCUGUGUAUGGUACCAAGCUGGAGAUGACCCUGUUGAAAGACUACAACUUCAACGAUGCUCAUCUAGCAGACAUCAUCCACCUGAACAGCAGUUCUGAUUUGGAGGAGGAGAUGGAUGGAGGUGCAAUGGGAGAGAAUGAGUUUGUAGGUAUGAUCACUGCGGAGGCUCUGCAGGCCCUACAGGAGGCAGAGGGCAGCAGUAAUGAUGGCAACUCCAGCUCCAUUGGUGAUGGUGUCUGGAUGGUUGAAAUCCCAGUGGAAGAGGUAAGAAACUCAUUUCCAUUGAGGAAAAGAAGGGCGUCCUGUUCUCUUUGUCUUUCAAAAUAAGUAUUUGGGUCUGGUUUGCCGGACACAGAUCAAGCCUAGUCCGGGACAAACGAUGGGGAAUCUUCUUGACAAGUCCCCAUGCUGAUGAAACUGUACAAAAAUCAGUAGAUAUUGCUAUUUCAUUGUUUGACAGUAAUCACCUAACAGUAUUUGGGGCCUAGUAUGCCUUAUUGGCAUGAACAAAACCAGAGCGUUUAAUGCAAAACCAGAGCGUUUAACCCUAACACAAAUUAUUGUAUUUAUGUUGAAUACAUCAUUUAAACAUUCACAGUGUAGGUUGGAAAAAGUUUGAACCCCUAGGCUAAUGACUU
rnacentral:lncRNA from 1 species